CGACGUAGCUCAGGGGUAGAGCGUUUCCUUGGUAAGGAAGAGGUCGUGAGUUCAAAUCUCAUCGUUG
rnacentral:tRNA from 1 species